UUCGGGUAGAGCGCCAGGCGCUGCCGCAGGCUGGUGGUCUGCGUGAGCUUGUGGUUGGAUUCCUCGGCCAGCACC
rnacentral:tRNA from 1 species